rnacentral:rRNA from 1 species
UGAGGAAUAUUGGUCAAUGGGCGAGAGCCUGAACCGGCCAAGUCGCGUGAAGGAAGACUGCCUUAUGGGUUGUAAACUUCUUUUAUACAGGAAUAAAAAGGCUUACGUGUAGGCCAUUGCAAGUACUGUAUGAAUAAGCAUCGGCUAACUCCGUGCCAGCAGCCGCGGUAAUACGGAGGAUGCGAGCGUUAUCCGGAUUUAUUGGGUUUAAAGGGUGCGCAGGCGGGCUUUUAAGUCAGCGGUGAAAUCUGGACGCUUAACGUCCAAACUGCCGUUGAAACUGGGAGUCUUGAGUAUGGAUGAAGUAGGCGGAAUUCGUUGUGUAGCGGUGACAUGCAUAGAUAUAACGAGGAACUCCGAUUGCGUAGGCAGCUUACUAAGCCAUAACUGACGCUCAUGCACGAAAAGCGUGGGGAUCAACAGAUUAGAUACCCUGGUAGUCCACGCCCGUAAACGAUGAUUACUAGUUGUAUGCGAUAUGAUAGUAUGUGACUAAGCGAAAGCGAUAAGUAAUCCACCUGGGGAGUACGCCGGCAACGGUGAAAACUCAAAGGAAUUGACGGGGGUCAUAGCUGUUUCCU